UGGGGGCAACCCUGAUCCAGCGAUGCCGCGUGAGUGAUGAAGGCCUUAGGGUUGUAAAACUCUUUCAGGGGUGAAGAUAAUGACGGUAACCCCAGAAGAAGCUCCGGCUAACUCCGUGCCAGCAGCCGCGGUAAUACG
rnacentral:rRNA from 1 species